UAGGCUCGGGUAAAAAGGCAAAGUGUACAUUUACUGCAGCGCACAAAUGUAAGUAUAUUUCCAUCGCUUAGCUCAGGGGUCACCAACCUGUUUGACAAAGGCCUGCUCUGCUGUGAAUGCAGAAUAUGAUUCCAACCAAACAAGAUGACACCUCUUCACCAAUCUGGUGUUUUUAAUCUGUUGAUUGCAGUCAGGUGAUGUUUGUUUUGCAGAAAUCUAAUUGGUUCAACUGUCUGUGCUGAAUCAGUUGGAACAGGGGACCCUUGGCUUAGAUCCUAUACAACUAAUUCUGUAAGGAUAUCAAAAGCUUGUUCUGGAUAAGACCCAAGAAGACAAGAGGGGUGGUCUGCCCUUUCACCUGAAGUCAGCAGGGAUAGGCUCCAACCCCCUGUGACCUAAAGCAGGGCAGGCGCACAUCGCAAUGGAAGUGGGGCACCGCAAGGCAUUGUGGACCGUUUAAAGGGAGAGGCAACUCGGCCACAACUCCCGCAUCCAGGGCAUCUGGUCACGGGGAGGCACCCUGAACAUCCACAGUACACUGACCUUGUAGCUCAUCACCUUCACGACACCCGAAAUCACUGGAGGAAAGCUUUUUAAUCUGGGCCUUGUUCGAUUAUUUAUGACGCAAUUAAAAGCUAUGAAGGAUGAACACUCAAUACUUGGAAGAACACCAGCAUUUUUGUGUGUGCUAGACAACUCAAAUUGCAGGAAAACGGUUGAGGGACAAAAAAUACAUAGAAAAUAUCAUUUUAGCCAGAAGUGUCAAACACGUCUUUUAGAGCAUUGGUGUCCGAACUAUGUCCCGCUGCGGCCUGCGUCCGUUUUCGUUGGCUCGCAGCAAAUUAUGAACAUAUCAAUGAUUAUCAAUUGAUCUAGGAUUUUUCUAAAACGGGCCAAGAAUGGGCCACAUGUAAUUCUCAGGGGCCAAGUGUUGCUGCCAUCUUUGUUCAGUGUUUGUUUUGGUCAACAAGGCAUGUGGCGGUAAAACUGCUGUUUUUUGCUGUAAUUUUUUCCCCUUUUUGUGUGUGUGUAUGAGCCCAGGGCUGUCAAGAGACUUACAGGG